CUCUCUCUCUCUCUCUCCUCGCCUCCGCGCUUCUCACAGCACAUUGACGCGCCUGUCGCCAUAACUGAAGAGCUUCCAUUUUCUAGGGUUCAUGAUUGGGCUUCUUCUUCUCGUCCUUUAGGGAAGAUAUUUCUUGCUUCCUCUGUUCCUUCUUCUUCUUCCCUUCCUUCGUGUUCUGCAGCGGCGAUCCUUUUUGACGGAGGGAACCGUCGACAGUUUUCUCGGAAAACCCCGACGGCACGUUUUCCACAAAUAAAGAAACCCCUCACCCCCACCCCCACCCCCACAAUUAUUGUACCGUCUGAGACCAAACCAGAAUCUUCUAUCUUUUUCCGCCCUUUUUCCUUCUCUAGGGUUCCGCAUCCCAUCGUCUGUAGAAAUUCCUUUCUUUUUCGGGGGGUUUUCUUCCGAUCUCACCCCCACCCCUUCAUCCCUCUCCCUCAAAUGGAACCUCGCAUUUGAUCUCCGGGCUCGUUCAUUUUCGCCAUUUUGCUCUGAGAUUGCCUGCUUUGUUUCGGUUGGGCAUUUAGUCGAACGGGUGGUCCGCGGAUAAAGUCGCCGGAUAUUCGGCUGCCCCCUGGCAUGGGGUGCGCCCACGGAAAGUGCUGUGGCCGGUACCCGAAGUCCUCCAACGAGGGUUCCGGGGAAUUCCACGAAGUGGGUCCCUUCGGCAAGCACGUACUCACGGAGAGAUCGAUCGAAUGCGUCCCUGUCCCCUCCCACAACUUCCGGUUGGAGUACUCUGUUCUGACCCAGCGGGGCUACUACCCCGACUCGCCCGAUAAAGAAAACCAGGACAGCUUCUGCAUCAAGACGCAGCUCCGAGGUAACGCCAACGUCCAUUUCUUCGGUGUGUUUGAUGGGCACGGCCAAUUCGGGACGCAAUGUGCGAACUUCGUCCGGGAUAGGCUAGUCGAAGCCUUAUUGGAGGAGCCCUCCUUGUUGGAUGACCCUGUUAAAGCCUACAACUCUGCCUUCCUGAGAACCAAUCAGGAGCUUCAUGAGAGCGGAAUAGACGACUCGAUGAGCGGGACCACUGCAAUCACGGUCCUCGUUGUCGAGGAUAAGAUUUUUGUUGCAAAUGUAGGCGAUUCUCGAGCAGUUAUUGCAGUGCAGGCUGGGGAUAAGGUCCUAGCAGAGGACCUCUCCUGCGAUCAGACGCCCUUUAGGAGGGACGAAUACGAAAGGGUGAAGGCUUGUGGAGCUAGGGUUCUGAGUGUGGAUCAGGUGGAGGGCCUCAAAGACCCGGAUAUACAGUCGUGGGGGGAUGAGGAGAGUCAGGGCAAUGAUCCUCCAAGGCUAUGGGUUCAGAAUGGCAUGUAUCCGGGGACGGCAUUCACAAGGAGUAUAGGGGACAGCAUAGCUGAGAAGAUUGGUGUGGUUGCUGAUCCAGAAGUAUCUGUGUUUCAACUAAGAUCAGAUCACUUGUUCUUUGUCGUUGCGAGUGAUGGGGUCUUUGAGUUCCUUUCGAGCCAAGCUGUUGUCAACAUGGUUGCAAGCUACUCAGAUCCUCGGGAUGCAUGUGCUGCUAUUGCUGGAGAAUCUUAUAAAUUAUGGUUGGAGAACGAGAAUCGGACAGAUGACAUUACUAUCAUCAUUGCACAUAUCAAGGACUUGUCUCAUGUGCUGACUCGAUAGAUGGAAUGAGCAGAGUUUCUGUGAAGCCAACAAUCCUGAGGGCAGCAAAGGGCAGCAAAGGUUCCUCUGUUACGUCUGGAUCCGAGAUAUUUAGAUCCAUUCGGAGCAGUGAUGGAUCGGAUUUACAUUCUUGCCAGUGCAGCAUCUCCAUGAACAGAAGCCCGGCAAUUGUGGUCCCAUCACCUACACAUCAUCAGACUUUGCAGAUGGAUGGGGGCUAAGAGCCGUUCGAUUGGGGUCCGAGAGAAUUCCGAUUGGUUACUUUUGGUAAGGCUGCUAUUUCAUCCUCCGAUGACUACAUUCUUUGCCAACACUACGAGUCGGAGGACUCAUUGCUCUUCUAUGGCCUUGCAAUUUCUGUAACUGUAAAGGGCAGGAGUAGAUCAGGAGAGGAGAGUAGGAACUCCCAUUUGGUUAGUUUCGGGAUGGGGGAGGGGCUUUGUGAGAUUGUGUCAUUCCACUAAUAGAUCAAUGUGUAUUCAUUUAUGCUGAAUUCGGUCAGUACUGGUAAAAGAAUGUCGAUUCGCCCUUUAGUGAUGUUAUCCAGAAAAUUCAAUGGCAUCGAUUAUGUUUUCUA